AUCCAAAUGACGAGUCCCAAAUAGGAUGAAACGUACGUUAAACUGUAU
rnacentral:hammerhead_ribozyme from 1 species